rnacentral:lncRNA from 1 species
GUUGGAGGCUCGUGGAGUUACCAGGACCAUUUGAUCGGCCCUUUGAUGGGUGAAGAUCUUCGUCCCGUCCAUCAGGAAAUCAGGAAAUCGUGGAGGCCAUUGAAAAUGCAAGGACCUGUGAGAAUUUCUAAGAGAAUCAUUCAUAAAGGCCCGGUGGGGGGCUAUUGGUGGGGGGCUAUCGAGGGCCAGGAGCGCCCUAGGAGGCCCAUGCCCCGGGGGAGUGGUCUUUCAGCUGUUUCUGUGGCCAGUCUCUGUGCUUGUCUGCUGCAUCUCUAACUGCGCCAGACGCCUUGACAUAAAACAGCGUUCCUCCUGGAGGAAGACGCACAGGGCUCCCUCUUUUGCCAGCAUAAGAUCGAGGGCCUGUGGAUCUCUGAGGGCCACAGUUGCCAGGGAGUCUACUAAUUUUGUAAAGUCAGCACAAGAUCAGGGACCUGUUGGGUGUCUGCCAUGACCUGUGCUGACUGUUUUUCUAGUGAAUAGAGUUCCCAAUCCUGCUGCUCCUGUAUUAAUCCUGGUGGGUGUUUUUAGCCCUAUGAGGAAGGGGAUACUUUGGGGGCUUCCCUGUGUCUGCUGUAUAUCGCUAUUGGAAUGGGCAGAUUUGGGUUGUGGGGUUAAAUAUCAGUUUGGGAAAUCAGGAAAAUUAAGGUAUAGAGGCCAGUUUAUGAGCCUCACAAACAAAAAGAAAACCUCAGAAGUGAGGGGGCAUCAGGGCUGUGGGACUGAUGUAAGUGUACAUCUUAAGUUCUAUUUAAAAGAAUUAUUGUUGGGACUGAGGCUGUGGCUCAGUGGUACAGCACUUGCCUGGCAUGUGUGAGGCCCUGGGUCGAUCCUUAGCACCACAUAAAAAUGAAACAAAUAAAAUAAAAGUAUGCUGUCCAUCUGUCCAACUACAAAAAAUCAAUACAAAUAAAUAAUUAUUGUUUUUCCUCUAAAAUGCCCAGGUAUGGCUGUAUUUUGGUUAUAACUGUUUUUGCUAGAUGUUCAAGACCCAAGCUGGCCAAGUUGAUCUGGUUCCUCUGUUGUCUGGACUCAGCUGAGUUCCAUAGGGGUCACUCUGGGGAACUUGAGAGCAGCUUUGAGCUCUUCAGUGCCGUUUGCUAGGUAGGGUGUCCUUGAAGAGGUAGCUUCCCUUGGAAGCACCAGGGAUGUCUCCCUUCUCCAAUGACCCUUCUCUUUGCGGCAGGUGCACUGGUUGGCUUUCUUCUCUCCAAGGGCCUCAUUAAUCUCCCUGGUGGAGAGGUCACGUGGCCCAGAGUUGCAAAGCUCUCAUUCCCGGAGUUUAGGCUGACUCAGAGGGCAGGAGCCAAAUAUUGGUCUUCUUGGCCCCUUUUAUUUUAACCUUAAUCGUUAAGCCUCAGUGUUAAACAUCUAGCAAGCCCG